UAGCCUAGUGGUUAAGGCUCUGGAUCACGAAUCCGGAGACGGCGGGUUCGAUUCCCGU
rnacentral:tRNA from 1 species